rnacentral:tRNA from 1 species
GUGGGAGAGGCUUAGUGGUUUGGCGUGAGAUUGCAAUUUGCAUCAAAAAUCUUGAGGUCGUGGGUUCGAUUCCCACCUUCCACU